AUUCUUUUCUGGUUCUUAAGAGUGAUGAUUGGCUUGACACACAGUUGUGGGACAAGAGACUCCCUCUAAACUUUGUUAUGGUGUUGGUACAUUACCCAUAAGAAG